rnacentral:snRNA from 1 species
AGCCACACAGAGAACACAAAAUGAAUUAUUCUUUCGCUUUUUACUAAAGAAUACCAUGUGCACGCUGCAAUUAGUGGCAUACGACAUUUUUUGGAGAAAGUU